AGAGUUUGAUCAUGGCUCAGAACGAACGCUGGCGGCAGGCUUAACACAUGCAAGUCGAACGGAUCCUUCGGGAUCAGUGGCGGACGGGUGAGUAACGCGUGGGAACCUACCCUGGGGUGGGGAAUAACCUUGGGAAACCGAGGCUAAUACCGCAUACGCCCUAUUGGGGAAAGACUAUGUUGCCCUGGGAUGGGCCCGCGUCCGAUUAGCUAGUUGGUGGGGUAAUGGCCUACCAAGGCUGCGAUCGGUAGCUGGUCUGAGAGGAUGAUCAGCCACACUGGGACUGAGACACGGCCCAGACUCCUACGGGAGGCAGCAGUGGGAAUAUUGGACAAUGGGGGCAACCCUGAUCCAGCCAUGCCGCGUGAGUGAAGAAGGCCUUAGGGUUGUAAAGCUCUUUCACCCGUGACGAUGAUGACGGUAGCGGGAGAAGAAGCCCCGGCUAAUUCCGUG
rnacentral:rRNA from 1 species